GGCAGUUCUCAGAUGAUGCAGCCCAGAAUCGGGCUCCCGCCUCUCUGGAUCUGGGUGCAUCACACGAGAACCACA
rfam:Myotis brandtii contig222084, whole genome shotgun sequence.